rnacentral:tRNA from 2 species
GAGAGUGUAACCCAGUCGGCAAAGGUAGCUGUUUCAAAAACAGCAUAGUGCAGGUUCGAUUCCUGCUGCUCUCA